AUUUUCUCAUUUCUCCGAUUAAACUUAUUCUUGGGCUGAAGUUUUUCUACAGACAAAAGUACAUCAGGGGGUGGUGGGAACCAUAGGCUUCUGCACCAUUUCAUGUCUACAUGGUCUCCUUUCAGUUACUUUGUUUCCACACGGUUUUAAAAAGCCUGUGGAUGGGAGUUUGACUGUCACAGCACUUACUGACUCUGUGGGCUCGGAUGGGCUCUUUUCUCAUCUAUGAAGUCAGAGAGUCACCAAGCUACUGUGAUGUUCAGAGGAGAUAAGGUACCCUUGAUCUUGAAUACAGUGAAUCUCAACAGGAAGUAUUUUGCCAUGCCUGUGUUUUACCACGAGGAAAGAGAAUGAUGAAAAUGGUGAUGGUGGUUAAGAUGAUAAUGGUAUGUAUUCUUUUUUAGUCCGUAUCUCGUACCCAAUUCUAUGUAUCAUGUAUUACUUUAUUUUAUUUUCCAUAA
rnacentral:lncRNA from 1 species